rnacentral:rRNA from 1 species
GACGAACGCUGGCGGCGUGCCUAAUACAUGCAAGUCGAGCGAGUGAAACUAACUGGUCCCUCCGUGCUGACGGUGGGUGAUCUAGCGGCGGACGGUUGAGCAACACCUGGGCUACCUGCCUGUAAGACUGGGAUAACCCUCGGAUACGCCAGCAUAUGCCGUAUGAUUCUUUGAAGUGCAUGGUUCGAACUUGAAAGGCUGCGCGAGCUGUCAUCUACUGAUGGGGCCGCGGCGGAUUAGCUAGUUGGUGGGGUAACGGCUCACCAAGGCGACGAUGCGUAGCCGACCUGAGAGGGUGAUCGGCCACACUGGGACUGAGACACGGCCCAGACUCCUACGGGAGGCAGCAGUAGGGAAUAUUGCGCAAUGGGCGCAAGUCUGAUGGAGCAACGCCGCGUGAGUGAUGAAGGUCUUCGGAUCGUAAAGCUCUGUUGUUGGGGAAGAAAAAGUACAAGAGUAAAUGCCGCUACCCUGACGGUACCUAAACAGAAAGCACCGGCUAACUACGUG